CACUAUACGAGGAACUGGCAAAUGACAUCGGCAUCUCCCAUCACGGAUCAGAUGAGCUGGUGGAUUUUGCCAUGCUGUGGUCCUCCUGCGCCUCCAGGCCCUCAGGUUAUUUGGAUAUUGCGUAGGAGUCAAAGCCCUGUCAAUCAGAUAAGCAGUGACCUCGCAGACCCAGCAGAUAAGACGUUACAUGGCAAGAGGAAAUGGCAGACAGCAGGGGACACAAGGCCUGACUAUGAAGGUUCGGUGAAGCGAGACUGAUCACAACGGCUCUUCAAACUCAAAACGGCUGCCAAGAACGAAAAUAUAUUGCUUGUGCCUUUUCUAUCUCACAAUUUCUAUUAAGUGAGUCUGAUUUAAACCUCGUUGGCAAGCGCUUGUCUUUUCAUCUGAGGAAAAAAAAACAGUGUGCAAGGUGUUACAAGUUUCUCUCAAAAGUGUGAAUGGAAAGGGCAACAAGAAUGAGUGAUGCUUUGUAGAAUUUAGUAUUGUACAUACAUUUGAAAAGCUAAUUUGAUUAGGCAGUGGUCUGAGUCAUUUUUAAAGUAAUCUAUCUCAAAAAUAUCCAAAUCCAAAAAAAACUUCAUCAAUUAUGACUCUUAAUUGUCAGUGAUAGACACCCUAAAACAAAGCACUCAUGCCAGAUUUAACAGUCUCAAUAAAUGGCUCGCACAUUCUGCUGCUACAGGCUCACUGAGGUGGUAGGAAUAAGACAAACUUGCCAGUCAUUCCGUUACACUGGGAAAUUACAAAAGGAUGAAUGAAGGGCGAGUCUUUGUUUAGGAUGGCAGCUUUUGGGUGGUCCACAGGUUGGAAGCCCUCUGGGAGGGAUCAAGGAGACCUCCACAUAUAAUACCAAUACGACGACCUGUUGAAACAGGGUAGACGUUAAUUCAGAUGCAACUCAGCCACAACCAGGAAUCCAUUUUCUCCCCCAUUUGGAAAUUAAUUUUUCCACAAAGCUAUUACUUUUCAUUCUUCCCAUAAUUAAAUAAUCGUAAGUAAGUUUUGGAAAAACAAACUGGUUCUUGCCCGCGUCUGAGUAAAAACCCCAGAUAUGUUAUAUGUAGAAAAAGCAUAAGUCAUUUCACUGCUGCAAAAGCCUAAAUAAAUACCAAAAAUUAUAGCAAACACAAUACAAACUGUUAAUUUAAAUAAUCUUGCCCCAAAUACACUAGCCACAUGAUUAUCUAUAGAAAUGUUUUCUGAGCCCACACACUCUUUCAUUCCGACACCCUGCUUCAUAUGCACACAUAUUUAAACAUAUUUGGGUCUGGAGGCUGCCCAGGACAACCACAGUCCUCUAAUGCUGGCCACUGAGCCGAUGGUUCAGUGCUUUUCUCAAGAGCCCCCUUGAUGGUUGUUGUUGAGGGAGGGGAGAGAAGUACUCAUUCAACCCCCCAAGCAGUCUGGGGGUUCAAACACAUCAGUCACAAGUUCUCCUCCAAGUGAAAAGGGUUACUGCUGCAAAGAUUAGACCUGCAAAGCCAAUUAAACUCAGUUUAGCUGAUAUUUUUUUUUUAAAAAGUCAUUGCAUAAAGAAUAACUGAUAUUUUUCCCUCAGUAUGUAUGAUCAAUUUAGAUCAUAUUAACAGCUGUGCGUUUUUUAAACAAUGAUGAAUACAGUAUAUUUGCAUUUGAAAAGUGUAUUUUGCUUUUUGUACAGUCUAAAAAUGUAAUGCUUCCAUUCAUUUGGUUUUAUUGCUGUUUUGUGUAAGGCAACAGUGUGCAAGUGAUAGAGUUACUGUUUCAGCCCCUUUUGAUUUACCUUUUUUAUCCCAUUUUGCCAAGUAGAUAUUUGUGAGAUCCACAUCAAGGUGUCUGACAAUUUACCAGAUCUAAUGGGACUGCAUGCAGCCUGUCUGCCUGAGUACUGUAGGUCUCUGGAUGUCAUAGGGUUCAGGUUACAAGACCCACCACAUUCUCUGUGUUGCUGAGGAUUGCGGUUGGUUUAACAGUGUUUUUUCACACUUCACUCUUUAUCCUGGAACACCUUUGGGUAAGGUACUAUCUUUGCACACUUUUCCCCAUGUUAAUCUGGGCCAGUGCCAAAUAUGUCUGUAAAUCUUAUCAGCAGGCUUCUAAUGUAGUCUAAAGUAGUAUAUACAACUGUAUGGUCUGCAUGUGUAACCAAAUAAACAUGAAAAUAAAUUAGUCUAUAAAUAUAGGGAUAUAACUGCUUUAAGACAUGAGGAUUUUGUGUGUACAUAUUUAUGAAGGCCUGGCCCUGAGAAAAAGGUUGGUACAGUAAAUUCAGAUGUUUUAAUGACAUCUUCUCCUCAACAACUGACUGAAUGACAUUUCUUUAUAUGAUGUUAAAUAAAUAUCAGCAGAUGCCAAAGACUGCAAACGACUGACUAAAAACUUGUAAAUUUCCCCACUGUGGGACAAAUAAAGGAUUAUCUUAAA